rnacentral:tRNA from 3 species
UUCCGCUUUAGCUCAGUUGGUAGUAGCGCAUGACUGUUAAUCAUGAUGUCGCAAGUUCGAGUCUUGCAAGCGGAGUC